UAAAGGCAUCUCUUUGGAGGUCCCUGCCUUCUGGACGCCUUCUGAAGAUUACGUAUGGAUGUUGAGCAUGGAAGGCCUUUACUCCACAAUUAAAACGGUUCAGCAUUUGGAAGCUCCAUCUCCCUGAGUAAAUAAGAGCACUACAACUACUGCCUACGCUGUGACAGAACAAAAAGUCCUUUGGCCCAGAUAUUACGUGUGAAUGAAAAGAACAGCUGUGACCUCCCUCGUACUUUGAAAGGGCUCUGACAAACACAAACAAAUUCAACUUAACAAAAAAAAAGUCUUGAGUUCAUUCAUUUUGCAUGUGUAAGGACCUGCAGAAUUAAUUAUUACAUUCAAGACUAAUCGUGAAAGAGCAGCUAAGGCCUCUGAACUCAGCUGGAGACGGAGGCUGCUUCCUCCCUACCCAACAUCACUGUGCUGAUCAUGUCCUUCUGCAGGGCAGCUGCACUCAGCUUCUGCUGAACUGCGUGCUCAAUAUGGGAUGUGGAAGAGAUGAAACUAUGGGUGCUGGGAGAGGAGUCUGGACAUAAGAAAUAAUGUCAUCAAUAUUCUGUUGGGGAGGGAGAUAAGAAAGGAAAAUGAAGUAAUUAAUUCAUAAUUUACUGACACAUUUUUCUUGGCCUGUGGAAUUUUAAUGAUCUCUGUCUUUUGGUCUUCUUCCACAAACUCUCUCCACUGUCCAGGCUUUCCCAUGUGUCAAAUGACCCAAAUACUUCAACAUUUCCUGAACUGCGCUCCCAAUGACGGACAGGAUAAGACAGGACAGGAGAGGACACAGCAGAGGGCUGGAAUGACCUACGGUGUCCUGUACUUUGUUCUUGAAAUGAGCAGAGUAACCUCCCUCAAAGCACCUACUAUGAAAUCUGCAGUCCAUGACAAGGUUCCAAGGCCUGGCAAGAUAGCUGAGUCAGCAGAGCGUGCCCACCUUGAGUCUAUAAUAUCAGCAGGCACAUCAGCUUAAUGCUCAAAAGAAUAGCAUGAAUGCAUUUCUCCAGCCUUGAGAAAGUGCAUCAAAUCUGUGCAAUUUUCCCCUACGUUCUCCAAACAGUUACGUAAAACCAGCCCAUAUUUCCCUCUUGCUGUGGGGUGAAUAUAAUUCCCUCUCUGAAAAAAUUCUGCAUCUGAAAUAAGAUGUUAAUUUGCAGGAAUGAUUAAUAGUUCUGCUGACUGCUAAAAAUCCAGUUAGAGCAGUUAGGGCAUGAUGGCUUUACAGGAGCGGGAUACAGUUUAUUUGAUUUUCUGUAACUGAGUGUCCUCAGCUGAACCUACCAACCCUUCGCUGUGCAAGGAUUGUAACUCCCGCUGCAGUUGGAUCAGCCUCCAUUUCUAUUUUUAGUGCAGAUCUUGCUCCUUAUUUAGUCCUGAUUGCACAGCCAGAACUGCGUUCUCAGCAGCUCAGUGAAAAGCCUGCCUGUUCCAUUUUAUAACUUUUCCAGACAAAAAGAUGGGAAGCCUGCAGCUUUCCAAACACUCUUAUUUUUAAGAGCUUGCAAUACGAUACAGCCCAAAACCCAAGGGCUGAAUGAAUCCCUGCUGAAAUACUAUUGGAUUUUCUGGAGUUUUAUUCAGCAUUAAUUUGGCUGCUAGUAAGAUGCUUGGGAUAUUAAAACAUUAAAAAAAACAAACAAACCUAACCCUCCCACCUCCUCUCUUCCCCCCCCCCCCAAAAAAAACCCAAACAACCAACAAAAAGCAAAAAAGAAAAGCUCCUUCUUCACCAUAAGUAC
ensembl:lncRNA